GAAGAGAAAGAAAGAAAAAAAAAAGGAGCAAUAGAACAAACGAAAGAGACACCACAAAAAGAGAGAACAAAAACAGAGAAAAAAAGAAAGAGAUACAUAGAGUACUCGAGAAAACUGGGACGAGGAUUCCUCUUUUAGGGGAUAGAUUCACCGACACCAGCAAAGAUGCAAAUAGAUACUAACAAGGGUGAUAAAUAGAUUAAGGUGGACGACAUAAACUCUAAGAAAUGAGACAUGAAGAGAAAGAAAAGGAAGGGGAAUAGUCACUACGUUAAGAGCAUCUCGACCUUAGAAACCCUCGAAACCACAAGCAUCUGAUUCCGGGUUAAUGGACAUAUCACUAGGUAAUUCUAAGUGCCUAAUACAUUACAAAUACCAAAUGUAAUACCUUGUCACUUCCGAGUAUCUAUUAGUUAUGGGUGUAUGCCUGUAGCUUAAGAAGGUAUGUGUUAUGAAAUCCAUUUUCCAUAAAUAACUUACAUGUUGCUUCCCCCCUAGGGUUAUAUUUGAUGCUCGGUAGUCAAUAACAUGCGACAAGCUCUCCUCAAGAUGUAGCACUGUCAUAGUUUCACAUUAUGCAUGCACGCACUUAGCUUAAAUACGUAGGAAUUCACCCAUGUACUCGUGAUAUAGGUUGUACGUCCUUGCCAAGUAUGGAUGUACUUUUAUGUUUCUUCCUCAAAUAUUACGUGCUUGGCAAGUACGAGCAUAUUAGGUCAUCUUCUUAAAUAUCUUAUAGCUUUUGAUGCCUCUAAAGCAUGAUUCUAGAGACUUUUGGAUUACAGUACUCUGUUUGUUGAUUCUUAUAUGAAUACGAGUGUUUUGUGGCAGUUUUAAGGUAUCUGUAACAACGAAAACUACUGUCAAAAGCUGAACUUUAAAGGUACGCGUUUCUAAAGGGCAUAGACGCACGUAUAAAGGUAGUGCGUACGUCUAUAUUGCAAAUACGUAGGCCUUUAAGGCAUGUAAAACUCACCAGAAGCUCAUGUAUUAAGAGGUUAAUCCAUAUGCCUUUAGAUUAAGUACGUGCAUCUUACCCCUCUUUAUCAAGCUGUGAUGAUUGUUUUCAUAUUAUUGAUCAUGUUUUCUUUAUAGAUACAAGGGAGUGUGUUCCGGUGGCUUUCUUCGAAGAACUUGCAUCAGAAUUAGAUAGCUUAUUUUAUUUCCCAUAUUAUAUUAUAUCGUUCGAACUGUACUAUAGUUCCCCC
rnacentral:lncRNA from 1 species